UACGUAGGGUGCGUGCGUUGUCCGGAAUUAUUGGGCGUAAAGAGCUCGUAGGCGGCUUGUCGCGUCGGAUGUGAAAGCCCGGGGCUUAACCCCGGGUCUGCAUUCGAUACGGGCAGGCUAGAGUUCGGUAGGGGAGAUCGGAAUUCCUGGUGUAGCGGUGAAAUGCGCAGAUAUCAGGAGGAACACCGGUGGCGAAGGCGGAUCUCUGGGCCGAUACUGACGCUGAGGAGCGAAAGCGUGGGGAGCGAACAGG
rnacentral:rRNA from 1 species